AGAGUUUGAUCCUGGCUCAGGAUGAACGCUGGCGGCGUGCUUAACACAUGCAAGUCGAACGCACCUUCGGGUGUGGCGGACGGGUGAGUAACGCGUGAGAAUCUGCCCUCAGGAGGGGGAUAACGGCUGGAAACGGCCGCUAAUACCCCAUAUGCCGCGAGGUGAAACGAGUUUCCGCCUGAGGAUGAGCUCGCGUCUGAUUAGCUAGUUGGUGGGGUAAGAGCCUACCAAGGCAUCGAUCAGUAGCUGGUCUGAGAGGAUGAUCAGCCACACUGGGACUGAGACACGGCCCAGACUCCUACGGGAGGCAGCAGUGGGGAAUUUUCCGCAAUGGGCGAAAGCCUGACGGAGCAACGCCGCGUGAGGGAUGAAGGCCUCUGGGCUGUAAACCUCUUUUCUCAAGGAAGAAGAUCUGACGGUACUUGAGGAAUAAGCCACGGCUAUUCCGUGCCAGCCGCGGUAAUACGGGAGUGGCAAGCGUUAUCCGGAAUUAUUGGGCGUAAAGCGUCCGCAGGCGGUCUUGAAAGUCUGUUGUUAAAGCGUGGAGCUUAACUCCAUUUCAGCAAUGGAAACUAGAAGACUAGAGUGUGGUAGGGGCAGAGGGAAUUCCCGGUGUAGCGGUGAAAUGCGUAGAUAUCGGGAAGAACACCAGUGGCGAAGGCGCUCUGCUGGGCCAUAACUGACGCUCAUGGACGAAAGCCAGGGGAGCGAAAGGGAUUAGAUACCCCUGUAGUCCUGGCCGUAAACGAUGAACACUAGGUGUCGGGGGAAUCGACCCCCUCGGUGUCUAGCCAACGCGUUAAGUGUUCCGCCUGGGGAGUACGCACGCAAGUGUGAAACUCAAAGGAAUUGACGGGGGCCCGCCCAAGCGGUGGAGUAUGUGGAUUAAUUCGAUGCAACGCGAAGAACCUUACCAGGGUUUGACAUCCUGCGAAUCCCUUGGAAACGAGGGAGUGCCUUCGGGAGCGCAGAGACAGGUGGUGCAUGGCUGUCGUCAGCUCGUGUCGUGAGAUGUUGGGUUAAGUCCCGCAACGAGCGCAACCCACGUCUUUAGUUGCCGGCAUUCAGUUGGGCACUCUAGAGAGACCGCCGGUGAUAAACCGGAGGAAGGUGUGGAUGACGUCAAGUCAUCAUGCCCCUUACAUCCUGGGCUACACACGUACUACAAUGCUACGGACAAAGGGCGGCAAACCCGCGAGAGCUAGCAAAUCCCAUAAACCGUGGCUCAGUUCAGAUCGUAGGCUGCAACUCGCCUACGUGAAGGAGGAAUCGCUAGUAAUCGCAGGUCAGCAUACUGCGGUGAAUACGUUCCCGGGCCUUGUACACACCGCCCGUCACACCAUGGAAGUUGGCCACGCCCGAAGUCGUUACUCCAACCCUCGUGGAGGAGGACGCCGAAGGUGGGGCUGAUGACUGGGGUGAAGUCGUAACAAGGUA
rnacentral:rRNA from 1 species